AUUUUCUGUGUUUCAAAGAGUCACUUGCUUGCACACUGCUUUCCUUAAAUAAAUAAAUAAAUAAAUAUUCAAAGAAAUGAAAACAUAUGAAAACAAUAUCAAAAGGAAAAUGCAAGUAAGAGACAAUAGGAGGAAGCUGUUAUACGUGACCAAGGAAAUAAUAUUUUUUUCUCUAUUGGCCAUAUCAGAACUGAAAACACAAAGAACCUCUUAGUCACACUUCUGUAGGCUGAGAAUAAAACCACUGAAGUCCUGAUAUCUUCCUCUGUGAAUGUAACCAGAACAGGCCUAAAGUAUUUUUGUAUUUCUUUACCAUAGUAAAUGUAUUUGCAGUUCAAAACCUCAAUUCACAUUUAAGCAAAGGCCACUAUAAAGAUUUCUGUGAUGCAAACAGACCUCAAGGUAGGAGCAAAUUAUAUUUACAUCCACUGAAUGACCCUGUUGAACAGUGAGACUGUCAUAAUGUGGCCUUCAGGUCAAUAGAAAUCAGGUCUUAAGUUCUGAAAGAAGAAAGCAGUGACCACAUUAAUGCAUAGCAAUUAUCAAUUUUUAAAUCAGAUACUUUAAAACAAAGUCUUCCAGGUUACAGUGUAGGUUUACAGGAGGUUUCAUUUAUUUGCUGGUCAUAUACCAUGCAAAAGGAUGUACAGGAGCACGCCAACUACACUUGCACAUCUGUCUGGGCAGAAGUCACCCCAUUUAAAAGACAAUUUCAUCCCAAUUGGGAACAAAAUGUCCUAGAAAACAACCAAGAUCCAAAUGCAUCAUGUGGAUGGGAAUGUCUCCCCAGUUGCCCAGGUACUGUUGACCCUGGUAGUGGUGGGAGCACUUUGUUGGCUGUGCUACAGCCACCAACCCAGCAGGCUGUGGGUUGUCUGUAUGGUUGGCAACCACUCUCUGGGAGGCUUCCAGGCUCCCAAACCUUUUAGGUCUCUGAGAUAGACAUGAGCUGCUACCAGUUACAGAUGGGAGCCAAGGAGCUGGCUCCAACAGACUCCUCAGCACUCACUGGACAGGUAAGCAUGGCAACAGCCAGAGUGAGGUCACUGAAGAAACAUUCAGGUUAAUGCAAUCAUUUCAUCCCUUUGAAACGCAGCAGGUCUUGCCAGCAAGGCCCCACAGUGGAGAGGCAAGAUGUUUGCUUAAGAGCAAGGGACCUUGCUCUUCAUUUCUGCUUGUUUUGUGUUAACAUAUCUCAGCAAAUUUCUUUGUUUGAAGGAAAUUUCUAAAGAUAAAUAGAGAUCCAGCAAUGCCAACACCCCAAAAAAAUCUAUAUCAGCGUUACUGGUGACUGAAGAGGUGCAUCCAGGAGGAAGAGGGCUCUGCCACCUUUCCCAGCACCACUGCCAAGAAGAGAACACAUGGCUGAUCCAGUCCCUGACCUCAAAUUGCUCCAGAUCAGCAUCAGAUCUCAUCUACAUCCCUGAACCCACCAUCCAUAGUCACGAAGAUGGAGUUGGCCCCAUAAUGCCUUGGUCUGCAACAGGACUAGAAACAAGGGAAAUUAAUGAGAUAUUUGUAGAACAGAGGAAGUGAUUCGGUUGUGACCUCCCAGAGCUCUUGGAACUAAAAUUUAUAGACAAACAACUCUCAUCAGAACUAAUAGGAGAAGGACUUGGGGACUACGCAGUAAUAUGAUGGAUCCUAUUGUUCUUACUUGGAUUUCUGCUGUACCUUUUGUCAGAGAUAAACACACGUAUCACUGCUUCAGCACUCACAACACUGAAAGUAAUAUACAUAGCCUUCACCGUACUGUCCGGAAGAAACACAAGAUUUAUUGGUUAGGAAAAAGAAAAGUGAAGCAUACCCUCUUAAUACUGCAAGGACCUAACUGGAUAUCCAAUGAACAUUUUUUCAUUAUCUUUAAUAAACUUCAAUGGUCCUGAUCCAUAGAAUUACUACUUGAUUAAAUCAAUGACAGAGCUACAAG
ensembl:lncRNA